UACGUAGGGUGCGAGCGUUGUCCGGAAUUACUGGGCGUAAAGAGCUCGUAGGUGGUUUGUCGCGUUGUUCGUGAAAACUCACAGCUUAACUGUGGGCGUGCGGGCGAUACGGGCAGACUAGAGUGCGGUAGGGGAGACUGGAAUUCCUGGUGUAGCGGUGAAAUGCGCAGAUAUCAGGAGGAACACCGGUGGCGAAGGCGGGUCUCUGGGCCGUAACUGACGCUGAGGAGCGAAAGCGUGGGGAGCGAACAGG
rnacentral:rRNA from 1 species